UCUUUAAUCUACCUUGAGAAAACUUUACAUUUUUUUGGUAUAAAAAAAAACUCAUCGUUUCAUGCACAUGUCCAGUGUGUUAGGCAUUGCUCUUUAUGAAUCAUUCUAAUUAUUCAUAAGUGGAUUAAUAAUUUCGAACUGUUUUGAUCUCAAAAUAGGCUAAGAUGCAAUCAAUAAUUGUGUCUAUCGUUUGGAUAUUGCCUACUGAUAUAAAUUGUUGUGCAUCAGACGUAGAGUGUCACCUAAGAGUGGCAAUCAGAUAGGAUCGAAUCAAGUACUAAUCAAAUCAGAUGUAGAAAGUUUAUUAAAUAGGUCAAAAUUUCAUAUCUAAAUCCGACCUAUUUAUUAAACGGAUAAUCUGAUCCGACUCGUAUAACUUAUUUAUUAAAUAGAUCAAAAUAGGCUUAAACAAGUGAAGCAGAUCGAAUUAAAUAGAUUUGAAACAGCACGUUUUAAACAGGUCAGAUGAAUUGAAUUAUGUCCAAACUUAAUUAUUAAAUAGAUAAAAACAGAUUAAACAAAAUUAAGUCUAAACUUAAAUCUAAUUUAUAUAAUAAAUACGUCUAGAAAGGGUUGACCUAAUUAUAUCCAAAUCCAUCGAUGUCAAAUCCAAAAAAUUUUAAAGCCCCAGUGUCACCUUUCAUAUGGAGGUAGUAGAUUCGUUCCCUUAUCUUUAAGAAGAUUUGUAUCCCAGUAUUUCCAUGGGCCAUGCUCCGUACCAACAACCUUUUAAAUGAGAUAAAAUAAUAUCUAAUCCAUUAUGGAGGCGGCUAGCGAGGUGACGUUUAGCUAUAAACUAUGGUUGGACCUGCAGCUAGAGUAUUAGCAUCAAUUAUAUUUGAAAGGCCAAUGGGCACUUGACUAGUUUGCUGAUUCUUGGUGCUUGGGGUGGCAGCUUGGAAUUGACUCACUCUAAAUUUAAGCUUAAAUCGGAUCAUAUGUCAAGAGGUCCAGGUAUAUUGCCCAUUGGAUCAUUAUUCAUUAUAGUAUGGUCAUUGGCUUGAUAAACUGACAAAAUAUUUGGAGACACCAAUUUGCAAUACAUCUAGUUCAGUGUAGUCACAAUCUUGAUCAGCUUGUCUAGAUUCCUAAAUGACUUGACAUCCAAUAGUUAAACAAAUUUAAUAUUACACUGACAUUUUUUAAAAAAUAAAAAAUAGCCAAAAUAAUUGAAUAUAAAUAUAUAUAAAGGAUUGGGAUGAUUGAAUUCAAGUUAUAACUAAUGUUUUUACAAGUUGGGAGAUUUGGAGGCAGCAAGAUGUUUUUUUUUUUUUUUGUAGAGAGAGAGAGAGAAAUAUGGAACAAACUAUAGUUGUUUCUUUGAGAUAAUACCACUUGCCUAGCCUAGUGCCAAGCUAAUACAAGGCAAUCAGGUUCGACGAUAAAAGGGUUGGAUUUGAUUACAUGAAUGGAUUGAUGGUAGCUGAAAAUUUUGCAUGUCAACAUUUCUCUUCUUUCGUCUCUUUUUUGUUUUGCGAAGUCAAAAAGGGCACUUGCAGAGAUCAUAGAGUAUCAUGUGGAUGAGAACCUUUAUCUUAAAUAAUGGUACGCUUAAAUCCAUAAGGUCUUAUAAUUACUAUACUUGAGUCUCAAUCACUAUCACUUAUUAGAUAGAUUUCGCUUUCUUUAGAUGAGGGUAGUUAGAAGGGCUCUUUAAAUUUGAAGGGUUUGGGAGCUACCUUAAUUGUUUUUAAUCAUUACUCAAGGUUAGUUGAUGACUUGCGGAAAGAACAAAGAAAAUUAAGUAUAAAGUAAUGGCCACCUUGAGAGUUACAUAUUUAGCAAAGAUUAGAGAUCUCUGGUUGCUUCCAUGCCAUGCCAUCUUCGAGAGCAUUUAUCAAAUUGAUUAGGCAUUGUAUCAAUAUCAAUUUUUAUCAGGAACAAUGUCCCGUGGUUAAUCAUCAUAUCCAUACUAACUAAUGCAACUAAUCAACAAAUAAUAUACAAUAAAAUUCUAUUACAACAUAACACUGUCUUGAAGGGCAUCUAAUGCACACCAAAAUGCUUAAUUAUGUUCCAUUUUCUUGGCACUGGAGAUCAGUUUUAUAAUCCAUUACUUCAAGUAUCGGUGGCCUUCCUCAGAUAAAUUUGAGCAUGAGUACCGUAGAUUGAAUGGGUACAGAUUUCAUGUGACAUCAAUGAAUUAGCCCCUAAGAACAUGUACUAAGGUAAUAGGAUCACAAUUUGCAUCGUGAUUACACCAAGGUGCUAAAGUGAUUGCUUUGGAGGACAAUGAAAUACCAUAGAAAUAGAUCAAGGUAAAACAGUGAGGACCCGUACAGAACGUGUAUUUAGUUCUAUAUUGGUUAUACGCCGAGAAAAUCUUAGGUAUUUAUACAUGAUUAAGGAAUCUAAAUAAUACCUUUUAGCUAGCUAUUUUGGGUGAGGUUCUGCGUUGUUACGAAACCAUAUAAGAUUGCCAAGCAUGCAUGCCCCUAUCAAUGCAUUCUAUUUUUCUUCUUAGAGAACUUUCCUCACUUUUUCUUCUUGAUAGCUGAAUCUGAUACAAGAUGCAAGUCUGCAACAAAGUCGGACAUCCAUUGAUUGCUUAAUUUGAACCAAAGCCAAAUAUAUGCUCCAAGAACCAGAGUCUCUUCAAAUUGGCCUCCUUAGGCUAAUCUUUUGUUUGUUGAGGACUACUUUGAAAGGUUCAAAUCCGACGUGAUUUGUCAUCAAUACUUUUGAUAAAGGGAGCAUUAUAUUAUGAGGUACCAAUCAUUAAGAUUCUAAUAAUAUCUUCAUAGGCUUUGUGCCCCUAGCAAUCCAAAUGGGGCCCUGCAAAAAUAAAACCUUCAUUACUUCCCAACAAAGCAAUUGACACUAUGUCCUUGUCCAAUGCCCAAGGAUUAUAGCAUGAUGCUUUGGAAUUAUGUAGUUGAUCGCAAUCAAAGAUGCAUUUCCCGGCACAUUCAUCGGCCUAACAACAAUGACCAAAGGGAACACGAGAGCGAACUUAAGAUCUUGCUAUCGUCUCAUAAUGUGAUGAUUGAUUCUCCAUCUAAUCUCUACUCUUUAUAGUUUGGUAUAGGCCCUUGGUUUUAAAAUUCCAUCAACAUGCUUAGAUUUAGUCAGCGAAGAUUCCUUUGAGUUUAGUGAGGAUAAGGUUAGGGGUAAAAUAUAUAAUCACAUUGUGGACAUAUAGAAAGGUAUAAUAAUCGGUAACACGUGCAUGGAAUGAUCGCUCGCGACUUAGCCUUUUGUUCCCAUACAAUUUAUCCAUCAAGAUGUUGUGAUUACUGAUGGCGUCCUCUGUUGCGGAUCAUUCGGGCAGAACAUUACGGAUAGACCAUGCCGCUCUAUCUUUUUUUAUUUUCGGUAUUGCUCAUUUUCUGAUGUGAUUGGCUGUAGUCAAAAUAGGUGAAUCCAAAUCAUCUGGUUACAGUGAGAGAAAAAAAUGCCGUGAUUUGGAGGGAUGCUUCAUGAGCUUCAUAGAAUGGUGUUUGUCGUCACGUACAUCAACUUAGGUGAUGGGUUAAGUCCAAAUUCCAGAAUGAAUUGGUUCAUGGUCCAACCCAAAUGUCAGUCAAAUUGCGAAGUUGCGAAGGAAUGGGGCAGCUCCAACGCACAACUAGGGGUUUGACGCGUGGCUCACACUGCAUUGGAUGAUGCGAAGAAAAGAAAAAAAAAAGAAGAAAAUCACAUCGUGUCAAAUCUGUACAGCUUGACUUAGUUCCAUUGAGGAAAAUUGGUGGUCGUUUGGAACAUGUGACAUUUGGUACUUUUUGGUGUUUGGAAAAAUUUUUAUUUUACUAAAAUAUGUUUUUUGAGAUGGUAAUUUUGGAAAAUAUGAUAUCUAAAAAAAUAAUUUUAUACUUUUUAAAAUGUUUUAUAUUUGGUUGAGCAACUAUUUUUCUAGAAAUAUUGUAUAAAAUACCUAUUAUACUUUUAAUAAAGCGAAAGAUCUCGUCCAUAAAUUUUGAUGGCUUAAGAGUACUUAUGAAAAAAAAAUGACAUCAAUUUUCAAUCAAUGGAAAAAUAGCUUUUUCAUGUCUCUUAUAAAUUUUUCUUUUCUAUAAAAUAUAGAAAUUUUAUUUUUAUAAAAAUGUUAUUUCUUUAUUUCGCUUCUUUGAAAACUCCAAUUAAAUAAAAGGUAUUUAGUUUAUUUUUCUGUUGACCACUUUCUUAUUUUUCCCCAAACCAAAUGACUGAAUGAGUUCUUGAAUUGACCGUGAGCCAAAUGCAUGUCUUAUGUUUGUUUGGCAAGAAAGAGAUCGAGUACAUUUUCUCAGAAGCCUACGUCAUGCAUCUGACACAGCAUGUAUAGAAAUACUACUUUUUCAUCUCGCUUCUUUAAAAACUUUAACCCAAUAAAAAGAAUUCUUUUAUUUUUUCUGUUGAUUAUUUUCUUAUUUUCUAGCGAACCAAACGACUGAGCCAAAUGCAUGACUUGCGUUUGUUUGACAAGAAAGGGAGUACACCUUCUCAUAAGCUUGUGUCAUGCAUCUGACGCAGAGUAUAUGAACUUUGAGACCAAUUCACUCUGAAAUUUUUGAUUUAGUUGGUAAGGUUGCAAGCGAAUCGAGUAGACUUGGGUAUGACUUCAAGUGGCAUCCGACCCAUAAUAGACGUUCAUGACCGACAUUUUAGACUUGGAUCCCAAAACUCUUGGUCGAGUUCCAUAGAUUUGGACAUGAUCAGAAAACCGACCCCGGCUCGACAUGGAUCCAUUAAAUGAUGGCUCGAACGUUGAAGGCAAUUAUGAUCAGAUAUGAGUAAAUCUAGACAGGAAAUUGGCCUCACAACAUGCAUUCCUAGAUCUAGUACAGAACUAGGAUGUAAUUGAGCCCUACCUUGCUGAAAUUGGCUCAUCAGCCCCGAUCGGACUAAAUGCAAUCAAACCUGAUCACAUAUGACUUAACCCAAAUCGGUUCAAUCAUGCAAGAUAUGGGCCACCCUGACCUAAACUUUUGAAAUCAGCCCCAACUACAGAUAAAUCUACGGUGCAUACGUGGUUUUAAAUAAUGUUGUUAUAACUAUCGUAAUAAUAGUUAUAAUACUUUUUGCCACCUAUGUUAUAGCGUAUCUUUAUAACGUAAAUGGUGACCAUUAUUUUUACCUGUAUUUUCUUUUAAACGAAUAUUUUUUUUUUCAAAAUUUAAUUUUUUUCUAAAAAAAUUUUCUCAAAAAAUAAUUGUACCAUGUGAUAUUAUUUUAUUUAAUAAAAAAAAGUAGAUGGAAAGAUAAUGCCAUUAUUUUUCCAUUAGUACACAUUAUAACAUCACCAUAUCAGCCAUUAUUGUAGGAACUAUUUUAAUACUAAAAUUUUAAAAUGGCUAUUAUAAUGCUUAUAACAUCUGGUAACAGUUAUGUUGAAGGUCCAUCAUAAUGGGAUACCAUGUUAUUUGAAACCUUGAACAUAACAAUGGUUACAAUGUAAAUCCUUCAUUGGUUGAUGCUUUUACAGUAUAUCAGGAGUCUGCCUCUUAAUAUUUGAAGGCACCAUCCAAGUCUGUAUCCUAUAAUUCUGAGACCUUAUCCACAUUCCACAGGGACAGGCCAUUGAGAUAAAGAUUGAAGACUUCGUACAUAGGGAACUCAUUGUGGGCCUUUUUUUUAUUUUAUUGCUUCCCUUGUCUUACUUCUUGUAUGAAGAGCCUCAUAUGCAGGUCAUUUUAUAUUCCAUUGAUGAUAAAAAAAAAUAAAAGAAAAAAAGUAAGAAAGAAAGGAGAUUAAGCUUGUUUGGUAGCGCUUUUGGUAGGCCAGAAAGCACUAUCUGACCCUUUAAAAGUAUUUUUGGAUGAAAUAAAGUUGUUUGGUAAAAAAAUCGGAAAGUUGUUUUAGAUUUGCUAAAAAGCUAAAGCAACUUUCUAGAAGAAGCUCCAAAAUAGAACUUCUUCAGAAAAACACUUUUAGCAUGUAUUGGAAAGUUUUUUUAAUUUUUAAUUUUUUUAACCAAAAUACCCAUGAUAAAAUAUUAUAAUUACAAAAAUUAAUUCCUAAAAAUAUUAUAUUAAUAAAAUAUUAAUAUAUGAUAAUAAUAAUAAUGAUAAUAUUUUAUAUUUUUAUUAUUGUAUUAUACUAUAAAAAUAAUAUUAUAUUACACUAUAUCAUAAUACAUUGAUAUGUUAUGUUAUAUAAUAUUAAAUUAUAUUAUAUUAUUAUGCUAUAGUAUACAAUAUUAUAUUACUAUAUUAUAAUAAUAUUAUAUUACAUUAUAGUAUUAUUAUACUAUAUCAUAUAUUUAUGUAUUAAUAUAUAUUAUAUUUUAAUUAUGCUCUGUUGUAUAACACUAUGCAAUAUCCUUUAUGGCAUUUUUUCAUACCAAAAGUAAUUUUUCAGUUUGUUUACCAAAUACAUGUUAAAGUUUUACAGCAUUUUAAAAAUAUAGUUACCAAACAACAGAUAACUUAUGUAAAAGCUUUACUUUCGAAAACUCUAUUGCCAAUAGCUCUGCCAAACGGCGCUAAAUCCAAAUCAAAUAUGCCCACUAAGUAAAUGCACCAUCUAUUUAAGUUUUACAAUAAGGCAAGUGUAAGUUAUUGGGCAUCCUGAUUGCUUGGUCAAUGGGAACAGGCUUGGUAUGUGGUGGGCUGGAUUUUGUCUGAAGAAGCGAUGUGUCUGGUUCAGACCAUGACCCAAGUUCCACUACUCUCUAGAAUAAAUACUACCAAUGAUUAGGGAUUGUAGUCGGCCAAGUUUGUUCGGACAUCUGACCUGUCCCAAAUCCUAAUAGGAUCCAUUUAGCAAAAUUUUAUAAGGUUUGGGAAGGGUUUGGGAUUUAAAAUUAAUACUCAUUAAGUUUUAGGAUAAGCUUGUGAUUUGACCCUCAGAUAUCCCUUACCCGAUCCUAAUUAUGUAUAAUAUAUAUGCUCUUUAUAAAAUAUUAUGAAAAUAUAUAUACAAUAGAGGGGUGAAGAAAUUAUGGGCUUAAUGUUGGUAUUACGGAUUAUGGAUAUUUGUUAAAGUUUGAAUUGUCCAAUUUUAUUUGAUGUUAGUUAUAUCCAGAUCAUUAUGUGAAUAUCUUUGCUUAUGUUCUUGCAUCUUUUUGUUUAUUUUUUUUAGUUCUGGGUUGGAUACCCAAUUCGACCCGAAUUAGUCCAAUCCACAUAAAAAUUAAUCGAAUGGGUUUGGAUACCUGAAGGAUUUAUCAUUUUCUUGAUGGGGCAAUUUUGAAAUUUUUUUGAGCAAAUUUUUAAUCGAAUCUAGGACAGAUUUAAGUAGUAGGAUUUUAAAUGAAUUCAGAAAUGAGUAGAGCAAAUUUUGUAGAUAACUUACGUAUUGCCAUGCCUACCAAUGAUGAAAAAUUGGUGGCCCAUGGCUUUUUCAAAAAGUUAGAGAGAGAGAGAGAGAGAGAGAGAGAUUGGUGGUCCAUAUAUCUAAAAAUUCUAUCCACAUAACAUAUGAGAUCCCAAGCACCUUACAUUCCUCUGGAUAUCCAAUGAGCAAAAGGAGGGGAAAAAAUGUGAUUUGCCUGGUCCACAAGCUCCCCUAUCUACCUUCUCUUCAGGACCAACCAAAGUUAACAGAAGAGUACCAAGAAAAAGAGGAGUUCAGAGAAGAACAAGGAGGUCAGAUAAGUAGGAAUGGCUUUAGAAACCUGUUUCCAAAUGAGCACCAUUGCCUCCACAACUCCGACUAAUAGUAGAGCCAGAUUCUUCUCCUACAAGGAAAAGCAUAAUUUGCCAGCAAACAGUGGAUUAAAGAGAGCUAUUUCAGCCCUCUCAUCAUCGUCGACUCCAUCCACAUCGAUCCCUUCGGCUAAUAACCGUCGUAAACGUUUCAUCUGUCAAGCUAAAAAUGCAGUGGAUGAAGGUAAAUUUGUUGACUCUUUUGCUCUUUCAUGUUGGACAAAUGUUGCAUCUGAUACUUUCCAAGUGCAACAGAAAAGCUGAAGUGAUGGUAUUGUUUUGCAUGAUCUCAUGAGGAGUUAGUUCUCACUUUGUAUCAGAAAGAACUAAGGUCUUUUAAGUGCCUUUAAGUUUUGUUCUUUCUCAUUUUCAGAGAAAUUUUUCUUUUUCGCAUUUCAUAGAAAGUGUGUAAUAUACUGCAAUUAAGUUUCUCUAACUGAUGAAGGAGUUCAUUUCAUUCUUACGAGAUUCACUUAGCUUCUAACUGGAAAUACAUAAUGGCUACAAUAUGAUGCAUCUUGACUUGAACCUUAAACUAUUUUACAUGGUGUUCAAAGAUCAUAACUGUGAUAUAUAUGGGGCAAUCUGCAGUCCUGGUGGUGAAUGAUGCCAAUUGGGACAGCAUGGUCAUUGGCUGCGGAACACCAGUACUAGUAGAUUUUUGGGCACCAUGGUGUGGUCCCUGCCGGAUGAUUGCACCAAUUAUCGAUGAAUUGGCCAAAGACUAUGCUGGAAAAAUUAUCUGCUGCAAGGUCAAC
rnacentral:lncRNA from 1 species